rnacentral:lncRNA from 1 species
AGCCUGUAACAAGCUUUAAGUUGAGAUGGCCUAUGCUCAGCCUAACUAAAGGAGCUUUCUAUCGACCUCGCAUGAGUCGACGAUUCCUAAUCGGCUAGGAGUGCCAAUUCCAUGCAUAUGUACACAAAGACAUGUGGCGAUAGAAUUUAAACUCGCUUUUCAAUUGAUAACAAAAGUUACUACAAAGACGACGCAUCAAGCGUAGCAUCAAAAAAUGAUAAAUAAAAAUACACAACA